rfam:Triticum aestivum genome assembly, contig: Triticum_aestivum_CS42_TGACv1_scaffold_289410_4AL
GAAAUACCACCUCCAUCCCAAAAUUCUUGUCUUAGAUUUGUCUAUAUACAGAUGUAUCAAGUCACAUUUUAGUAUUAGGUGCAUCCGUAUCUAGACAAAUAUAAGACAAGAAUUUUGGGACGGAGGGAGUAUUUG